rnacentral:rRNA from 1 species
UGCCAGCAGCCGCGGUAAUACAGAGGUCUCGAGCGUUAGUCGGAAUCACUGGGCUUAAAGCGUGCGUAGGCGGAUGCGCAGGCGUCGUGUGAAAGCCCUCGGCUCAACCGAGGAAUUGCACGGCGAACCGCGCGUCUUGAGACAAGUAGGGGCGGUCGGAACGAUAGGUGGAGUGGUGAAAUGCGUUGAUACCUAUCGGAACGCCAAAGGUGAAGACAGACCGCUGGGCUUGUUCUGACGCUGAGGCACGAAAGCGUGGGGAGCAAACGGGAUUAGAUACCCCGGUAGUCCACGCCCUAAACAAUGUGCACUAGAUCAAGGAAGGUACUGACGCCUCUCUCGGUCGAAGUAAAAACGUUGAGUGCACCGCCUGGGGAGUACGGUCGCAAGGCUAAAACUCAAAGGAAUGACGGGC